CCCCCCGCCAUGAGGGAUAAUGCGCGUUGAUUGGCUUUUCGUCCUAUCGCUCUUGACUGUGACCAAUCAGAGCCACAAGCGGUGACCAGACGGGCCGGGUGGGGGCGGGGCCUCGCCGCUCGGUGCCCGGCGUGCUGGGGCGCUGAGGUACUUCCCGCCCUCACUGCGCCGCAGCAGCUGAUAGUCUGUCCCUGCGCACCUCUUCUCCACCGGGAGAGCCCCCGGGAAAGCCAUUUCUCUUCCCAAAGGGAAACUUAGGCCAGUUUCCCAGAGGGUCUGAUGGCACGAAAAGGCUGAGGAGCCUCAAGGCUGGCCCAGUGCCUCUGAGAAGCGGGUGAAGUCAUGGCCUGUUGCUUUGAUAAGAGGUGCUGUUCUCCUCCUGUUGGCUUCAGGUGACUCAGCAGUAGUAUGUGGCUGACAUUAAAUUAGAGUCACGUUUACGUAACACGUCAUAGUUUCGACGAGCUGUAACCACAGAGCUGAUGGGAGACUGGGGGGGUGUUUUUUACCUCAGAAGGUUCUCUGUUGGGACUGCCCACGCAGCCGAGAAGCAACUGAAGGGACUCUGCUUUCUUUUUGAGCUGCUUAAAACACACAGAUGGAAUGAGUGCCCAUGUGCAAGCUUUGGUAGCAGAACAGCUUCAGGGGUUGGCCUUCAUGAGAAGAGACCUCCAUCUCCAACAGAGCCAGUGAUCUCUGAAAUACACCUGCUGCAGGAUAAAGAUCGAAAAGAAAUAUCUUCCUGGCAGCACUGCGUAUGGAAGGAAUAAGGAAAGUAACAAGGAGAAAGUUGCGCGCAUUUACAACAUGAAGAUGCUAUUCAAGGUCAGAAGAAGAAGGUCUUCUAUCUACGUAGAAGAAGGUGGAGACCAUAUAAACACUCAUUGAAAGAGACCCAUGGAGAAAACAGAAGUAGGGGAAAGCACUACAGCUGGAAAAUAAAUCUUGACAAUCCUCCAUUCUUGCUGUCAGACAACACCAGAAGCACACUGGCUUCAAGCAGUCCAGUAUCAAAGUGGAUUUGGAGAUUUGGCUAUUGGUCCAUGUGAUCGUUCACCUUUAUUUUAACGCCAUUUCACCUCAAUUUCCUUCAACUCUGUCUAUCUAUGCCAACCGCAACCGAUGAUCCUGCAACCCAAAACUGUGCAAACUUGAGAAGGAGAAACAAAGAAGAUGAAGGCGAAC
ensembl:lncRNA